UACGGAGGGAGCAAGCGUUGUUCGGAAUCACUGGGCGUAAAGCGCACGUAGGCGGGUCGUUAAGUCAGGGGUGAAAUCCCGGAGCUCAACUCCGGAACUGCCUUUGAUACUGGCGAUCUUGAGUUCGGAAGAGGUAAAUGGAAUUCCCAGUGUAGAGGUGAAAUUCGUAGAUAUUGGGAAGAACACCAGUGGCGAAGGCGGCUUACUGGUCCGAUACUGACGCUGAGGUGCAAAAGCGUGGGGAGCAAACAGG
rnacentral:rRNA from 1 species